rnacentral:rRNA from 1 species
CCCUUAGAUGUUCUGAACCGCACGCGUGUUACACUGAUGCAUUCAACGAGCUUUACCUUGGCCGAGAGGCCUGGGAAAUCUUUUUAGCAUGCAUCGUGAUAGGGAUUGAUUAUUGCAAUUAUUAAUCAUGAACGAGGAAUUCCUAGUAAACGCAUUUCAUCAAAAUGCAUUGAUUACGUCCCUGCCCUUUGUACACACCGCCCGUCGCACCUACCGAUUGAGUGGUCCGGUGAAGUCUCGAGAUUGUGGCAAUCUCCUUUAUUGGGGUUUGACUGCGAGAACUUGCCUAAACCUUAUCACUUAGAGGAAGGUGAAGUCGUAACA